rnacentral:rRNA from 1 species
AGAGUUUGAUCAUGGCUCAGAUUGAACGCUGGCGGUAGGCUUAACACAUGCAAGUCGUGCGAGAAAGUAUCUUCGGAUAUGAGUAGAGCGGCGGACGGGUGAGUAACGCGUAGGAAUCUACCUAGUAGAAGGGGAUAGCCCGGGGAAACUCGGAUUAAUACCGUAUACCUCCUUUGGGAGAAAGAGGGCCUCUCUUGAUGCUCUCGCUAUUAGAUGAGCCUGCGUAAGAUUAGCUUGUUGGUAAGGUAAUGGCUUACCAAGGCUACGAUCUUUAGCUGGUCUGAGAGGACGAUCAGCCACAUUGGGACUGAGACACGGCCCAGACUCCUACGGGAGGCAGCAGUGGGGAAUAUUGGACAAUGGGCGCAAGCCUGAUCCAGCCAUACCGCGUGUGUGAAGAAGGCCUUCGGGUUGUAAAGCACUUUAAGCAGGGAGAAAAAGCUAUAAGUUAAUACCUUAUAGCCGUGAUGUUACCUGCAGAAUAAGCACCGGCUAAUUCCGUGCCAGCAGCCGCGGUAAUACGGAAGGUGCAAGCGUUAAUCGGAAUUACUGGGCGUAAAGCGCGCGUAGGUGGUUUGUUAAGUUGGAUGUGAAAGCCCUGGGCUCAACCUAGGAACUGCAUCCAAAACUAACUCACUAGAGUACGAUAGAGGGAGGUAGAAUUCAUAGUGUAGCGGUGGAAUGCGUAGAUAUUAUGAAGAAUACCAGUGGCGAAGGCGGCCUCCUGGAUCUGUACUGACACUGAGGUGCGAAAGCGUGGGUAGCGAACAGGAUUAGAUACCCUGGUAGUCCACGCCGUAAACGAUGACAACUAGCUGUUGGGAGACAAUGUCUUUCAGUGGCGCAGCUAACGUUUUAAGUUGUCCGCCUGGGGAGUACGGGCCGCAA